UUUUUUUUUUUUUUCCUUUUGAGUUGCUGACAUUAUAUCUAUGAGUUACCUGUUUAUGAGAGAAAUUAACUUUGUGAUAUAUUACAGUUUCUCCCCAGUUUGUCAUCUGUCUCUGACUUUGCUUGUUGCAGUUUUGCCCUGAGGAGUUCUGACUUUUAUGUGGUUGAAUUCAUCAGUAUUUUUAUUACUUCUGUCAUUUGGUCAUAGUUGGAAAGGACUUCUCCCCUCUAGUGCUAAAAGAAGAAUUACCCUGUGGUUUGUUUGGUUUAUUAGUUCAUUCUGCAUUUUACACAUAUUUAAAUAUUUGAUCUGUUUGGGAGUUAUCCUGCCAUAAGGGGUGAGGCAUAGAUCCAGAUACAUGACUCUUAGAGGGCAGUCCAUUUGUCUCAACACUGUUUAUUAAAUAAUCCAUCUUUUCUCUUCUGAUAGGGAAAAGUCAUUGCCACCUGUAACAUAUACUGGAUUUCCAUAAUUUUUUAAACGGUGCUAAGAACACUUAACAUGAGAUCUACCCUCUUAAAUUUUUAAGUGCUCAAUACAUUAUCAUUAACUAUGGGCACGGUGUUGUACUGCAGAUCUCUAGAACUUAGCUUUUCUUUUUUUUUUUUAGGGCCACAUCGACAGCAUAUGGAGGUUCCCAGGCUAGGGCUAGAAUGGGAGCUACAGCUGCCGGCCCACACCACAGCCACAGCGAUGCAGGAUCCAAGCCGUGUCUGUGACCUACACCACAGCUCCUGGCAAUGCCGGGUCCUUAACCCACUGAGUGAGGCCAGGGAUUGAAACCGCAUCCUUAUGGUUACUAGUCAAGUUUGUUACCACUGAGCCACAGUGGGAACUCCCUAGAGCUUAUCUUGUGUAGCUGAAAUUGUAUACUUAUUGAUAGCACUCAAUUUCCAUAUUUGGUGGGUUCUACUCCUGAAUUUUCGACUCUAUUCUGUUGAUCUUAGAAUUUAUGUUAAAUUUGGUGUCUAUCAUAAAUGAGUUUUAACAUGCUAUAAGGGUUCAUUACUAGUUUAGUUUUCUUCAGACUUUUUUCAGUAUUUUAGGAAAGAAAAAUUUCAAACAUAUAAAAUGUUGAAAGAAUUUUACAGUGAAUACCCCUUUGCCACCACAUAGAUUCUAUCACUUACACUUUACUAAUGUUGCUUUAGUACAUAUCUAUCCUCUAUACACUGAUUCAUCUUUUUGUUUUGGAUGCAUUUCAGAGUAAAUUUGAGACAGGAGUACACAUCCCCCUAAAUAGUUUAGCAUGCAUUAGCAUUAACUAAAGUUUAGUAUUUGUAGUAUUUUUUAUUUUGAGCUCAAACUUACACACAGUGAAAUGCAUAAAUCUUAGGCGCGUAUUCACUGGGUUUUGACAAAUGCAUGUGCUUGUGUAACCCAGACUCUUUUCAACCUACGAAGGAGAGCAUCACCCCAGAAAAUCCCCUCCAGCCUCUUGCCAGUCAGUCCGGACAUUCACCGCCCCAGAAGCUACGGCUGUUCUGACUUCACAGGAUACGCGUGCUUCUGUGGAAGGCUUCUUUCACGAAGCAUAAUGUCUUGGACACUUAGUUGCAUGUGUCUGUAGUUUGCUUGUUAUUGAUGAAUGAUACUCCGUUUCUGAAUGUACCACAUUUGGUUUCUUUAUUGUCUGAUGAAGCAACAGCUGCACUGUUUGUAGUCCUUGGCCAUUACGAAUAAAGCUGCUGUGUGAGCCUUCUUGCAUCGUUUAUUUUGUGGCUCAUGUGCUUUCUUUCUCUUUUUUGGAGGGAGGGGGCAACUACAAAUGAGUAAAAUGGCUGGGUCCUAGGAUAGAUUUUUAGCUUUUGAAGAGCCCCCCAGUGCCUCUCUAAGGUGGCGGCACCAGUUCAGGCUCCUCAACGGUUUCAGUUGCCCUCUCUCCUCAGCAUCAUUUGAUACUGUCAGUCUUUUUAAUUUUCCUCCUAUGGGGUGGGUAUAUGGUGGUAUCACACUGUGGUUUUAUUUUGCAUUUUAUUGAUGCCUAAAUGAUGACAUUGAACAUUUUUACAUGUGCUCCUUUGACUAUCUUUCCCUUAUGCAUUGUCUCUUAAAAUCUUUGCCUUUUUGAAGAUUGAGUGGUUCUCAUUUUAUGAUUGAACUGCUUUAGAUUUUUGUUGACUAUUCUUACUUAUCUUUAGUUCCCUAGGAAACUUAGGACCAGGUUACCUACGUCCAAAAAAACCACAUCCUUUGGGUUCUGUUUUAGAUAGAUUUGGGGACAAUCAUAUUAUAAUGCUGAUUCCAGCAUUCGUCAUGCUCAGCAACUUGGAAUGCCCUUCAAGUAUUUAAAUUUUCUUCUCCCCCACCCCAGAAGAACUAAAAAAUUAUCUUUCUAAAUUCCUUAUAUGUUUCUUAAGUUUAAUUCUAAGCAUUUUAUUUUUAUUAUUGCUAUUUUAUUUAUUUAUUUAUUUAUUUAGCUUUAUAGGUUCGUACCUGGAGGUUCCCAGGCUAGGGGUGGAAUCUGAGCUGCAGCUGCCGGCCUACACCACGGCCACAGCAAUAUGGGAUCCGUGCCGCGUCUGCGACCGACACCACAAUGGGAAGCCACAGUGGGAACUCCUAUUGCUAUUUUAAAUGGUGCCUUGUCUUUCAUUAUAUCUUCUAAUUUGUGUCUUUUACAUAGAAGAAAAAAAAAAGAAAAAAGAAAGCUAUUGAAUUUGAGAUAUAGUAAAAAAUUACUGGUUCACCUGAAAUUAAAAAAGAAAGAUAAUUGAUUUCUGCAAUGUAUAUUCUUUAUUUCUGGAUAUUUUCUUGUGCCAGGAUAGCUCACCUUUUCCCUUAAAUCAGGUUUUUACAUAUGAAUUUAUUUAUCCUUUAUUCUCAGCCAAUGAAAAAGACUUAUUUAAAAAGAUUUCUUGGCGUUCCUGUUGUGGUUCAGUGGUUAAUGAAUCUGACUAGAAACCAUGAAGUUGUGGGUUCGAUCCCUGCCCUUGCUCAGUGGGUUAAGGAUCUGGCAUUGCCAUGAGCUGUGGUGUAGGUUGCAGACGCGGCUUGGAUCCCGCAUUGCUGUGGCUCUGGCGUAGGCUGGCCACUACAGCUCCGAUUAGACCUGUCGCCUGGGAACCUCCAUAUGCCACAGGUGUGGCCCUAAAAAGACAAAAGACAAAAAAAAGAUUUCUUUAUGGAGUGCCCAUUGUGGUUCAUGAUAACAAACCUGACUAGUACCCAUGAGGAUGUGGGUUCGAUCCCUGGCCUCACUCAGUGGCCUCACUCACUCUCAUUGCUGUGAGCUGUGGCGUAGGUCACACAUUCGGCUAAGAUCUGACAUUGCUGUGGCCGUGGUGUGGACCGGCAGCCGCAGGUCUGAUUUGGCUCCUAGCCUGGGAACUUCCAUAUGCCAUGGAUGCUGCCCUAAAAAGACAAGAAAAAAAAAAAAAAGAUUUCUUUAACAAUUCAAACUUUUGUUUUUCCUGCUGUCAUAGAGAGAGAACAGUGCCUUCAGAUAUGACUUGUUCAGGUGAUUCUUCAUGUAGUUUUACUUUUCCUGCUUCUGAAAGUUAAUUUGGUGCAGGACGCUCCUGCUGCCAGCGGGUUCACCCUGACUGCUCUUCCUGCAAACAGACCACACGUGUCCUGGUUGUGCCCACUGUGUUUGAGCAUCAUGCUUCUGCUGGCUCUUUGAAAGUCUCGAGCUGCUGCAUCGUUCCUGUGGUUUGUCUGCUUCCCUCUCCUCGCCCACCCUCAUCAGUCUCCAUUUGCACUGGUGAUCAUUUUGAUAUCCUGAGGUCUGGGGCUUAACUUUCUUUGUUUUACCCAAAAUGAAUUUUUUGUAAUGCUCGUUUUCCUCCUCCCUUAUGAUUCUGUGUUUCUAUGAAGAAAAUGGUGGAAACACUGAAUUUCAUGUCACGUAAAAUCUUAGAUCUUACUCUGAAAAUGCUGGAUGGUCAGGAAGGGAUUAACAGUGUUCAGGAAAAGUUAUUUUGUCCGAUUAUCUCUGUCUUUAACCAGUUGUCCUUUUUUCCAAGGGAGGUGGACUUCCUGCUGCAUCCGAGGUAGACUGGCUUUAUCACUGGCCUUCGUGUCUUUGGAGAUUAGGAGAUAGGAUGUUUUGUAACACAUUUAAAUUUAAAUGCCGUUAUCAGUUAAUAUCCUUAAUAUGUCUCAGGCAUCAUGGUGUUCUCACUGUCAGCACAUUUCAUCUGCAGGGCUGCGUGUCCCCUUCCUUAGGGUUUUGUUGACGAUAAAUCCUGCGCGGUUCAUGCCGUCUCUUAAAUUGAUUGCUAUGUCUGGGUGGCUCCUCUGUCCCAGAGGCUCAGGCGCAACGUCGAGUCAUCCUUCUUCUCUGCUCCCAGUGCCUUCUCCUUCAGGCGUGCUGCCAGCCCCCCGGUACCUCUGCACUGCACGUUUUGUCCUCCUGCCUCUCCUUUGCUCUCCAGCCCCUCUCCUGCCCGUGCCUGUAAUACGGUCCUCCUGACGCCUUCUCCCUCGUCCAUGGCACUUCCGGGGUCCUCAGCGCCUGUGGAAUGAAGUUCCCAAUUCUCAUCCUGGUCCUUAAGACAAAGAACUUGGUCUUCACUCUCAGCGCUUCCCCAAAUGAAGGCAAAGCCUUGUUCCGUCAGCCCCUGUCGUCUCCGUCAGGCACCUUGGACCUGUUUUCGCUCUGAGGGUCGGCCCACUCGGCUUCCCCUUCCUAGAGCCUGUGCACGAUAUACACCCUUUGUUGGUCCAAAGUCUGCCUUUCUUCCCAGGCCCAAGUCCCAUGCCUCAGGGAUUCUGAUCCCCACUCUGAACUCUCAUUUGCAACACCACCUCCCAUUGUCCGGACUCGUAUUUAGUCUUUCCAUCCGUUUAUCCUGUCUUUCCAUCUGUUUAUCGUGUCUUUUCACGUGAAUCCCCACAGCCUCUGCUCUCCAGCACUGUCCCUAUAUUACUACGUAGAGAGGGGUUUUGAGCCUGAUGGGUGAUCACGUUAAUGGAUUUGUCUGAUUUUGCUGCUCUUCUCAGGGUCAUUCUUUCUAAUGAGCUAGAUGCUCUGCUUGCCCCUUGGAAGCAUUUGCCUGCUAUCGGAAGCCCCGCUGUGUGUUCACCUUCCAGCUUUUUGAUCUGUUGACCUGUGGGACGUUUUGCUAAUGAAUUAAUUUCUAACC
rnacentral:lncRNA from 1 species